rnacentral:rRNA from 2 species
GAUUUCUGGCUUGACGCGCCUGGCCCGCCUCGGUUACGAGUGUGAGUGCCGGCGCGCGUCUGCCAUCCUUCUAGAAAACGGCUCGGGUCCUUCACUGGAUUCGGGUCGCGAUCUAGAUCUAUUACUUUGAAAAAAUUAGAGUGUUUAAAGCAGGCGUUUGCUGUGAAUACAUUAGCAUGGAAUAAUAAUUUAGGACUUUGGUUCUAUUUUGUUGGUUUCUAGGACUGAAGUAAUGAUUGAUAGGGAUAGUUGGGGGUGCUAGUAUUCAGUGGCCAGAGGUGAAAUUCUUGGAUUCACUGAAGACUAACUUAUGCGAAAGCAUU